rnacentral:rRNA from 1 species
GCGGGAAGAGCUCAAAUUUGAAAUCUGGUAGCCUUCGGUUGCCCGAGUUGUAAUCUAGAGAAGUGUUUUCCGUGCCGGCCCAUGUACAAGUCCCUUGGAACAGGGCGUCAUAGAGGGUGAGAAUCCCGUCCUUGACAUGGACCCCCGGUGCUUUGUGAUACACUUUCAACGAGUCGAGUUGUUUGGGAAUGCAGCUCAAAAUGGGUGGUGAAUUCCAUCUAAAGCUAAAUAUUGGCGAGAGACCGAUAGCGAACAAGUACCGUGAGGGAAAGAUGAAAAGCACUUUGGAAAGAGAGUUAAACAGUACGUGAAAUUGUUGAAAGGGAAACGAUUGAAGUCAGUCAUGCUCUUAGGAUUCAGCCGUUCUGCGGUGUAUUUCCUUUGAGUGGGGUCAACAUCAGUUUUGAUCGAUGGAUAAAGGCACGAGGAAGGUAGCACUCUCGGGUGAACUUAUAGCCUCGCGUCAUAUACAUUGAUUGGGACUGAGGAACGCAGCAUGCCUUUACGGCCGGGAUUCGUCCACGUACAUGCUUAGGAUGUUGACAUAAUGGCUUUAAACGACCCGUCUU